UAGGGAAUCUUCCGCAAUGGACGCAAGUCUGACGGAGCAACGCCGCGUGAGUGAAGAAGGAUUUCGGUUCGUAAAACUCUGUUGUUAGAGAAGAACAGCGCAUAGAGUAACUGUUAUGCGUGUGACGGUAUCUAACCAGAAAGCCACGGCUAACUACGUGCCAGCAGCCGCGGUAAUACGUAGGUGGCAAGCGUUGUCCGGAUUUAUUGGGCGUAAAGCGAGCGCAGGCGGUAAAUUAAGUCUGAUGUGAAAGCCCCCGGCUCAACCGGGGAGGGUCAUUGGAAACUGGUGGACUUGAGGGCAGAAGGGGAGAGCGGAAUUCCAUGUGUAGCGGUGAAAUGCGUAGAUAUAUGGAGGAACACCGGUGGCGAAAGCGGCUCUCUGGUCUGUAACUGACGCUGAGGCUCGAAAGCGUGGGGAGCGAACAGG
rnacentral:rRNA from 1 species